rnacentral:rRNA from 1 species
UACUCNANUNGNGGAGGUGGUGAUGCUGUUGUUUAACACCUAAAAGGUGGAGGGGGGGCCGGAUGCUUUAAUCACACCCAUAAAGCCGUCUCAGUUCGGAUUGCACUCUGCAACUCGAGUGCCUUAAGUUGGAAUCCCUAAUAAUUGCGGAUCCACAUGCCCCGGUGAAUAACUUCCCCGGCCCUGGUCCCCCCCCCCCUUCCCCCCUGGGAAUUGGUUUUACCCAAAAGCCCCGGGGUAACCGUUAAGAAGCCGGCUAACACCGGUGGGACAUUGACGGGGGUGAUUCAAAAA